UACGUAGGGUGCGAGCGUUAAUCGGAAUUACUGGGCGUAAAGCGUGCGCAGGCGGUUUUGUAAGCCAGGUGUGAAAUCCCCGGGCUCAACCUGGGAAUGGCAUUUGGGACUGCAAGGCUGGAGUGCGGCAGAGGAGACUGGAAUUCCUGGUGUAGCAGUGAAAUGCGUAGAUAUCGGAAGGAACACCUGUGGCGAAAGCGGCUCACUGGACCAUUACUGACGCUGAUGCACGAAAGCUAGGGGAGCAAACAGG
rnacentral:rRNA from 1 species